AUUGAACGCUGGCGGCAGGCCUAACACAUGCAAGUCGAACGAGUGGCGGACGGGUGAGUAAGGUCUGGGAAAGUGGGCGAUGGAGGGGGAUAAGGACGGGAAACGGUAGCUAAUAGCGCAUACCGUGGGAUGGGCCCAGAUGGGAUUAGCUAGUAGGGGGGGUAAAGGCUCACCGAGGCGACGAUCCCUAGCUGGUCUGAGAGGAUGACCAGCCACACUGGAACUGAGACACGGUCCAGACUCCUACGGGAGGCAGCAGUGGGGAAUAUUGCACAAUGGGCGCAAGCCUGAUGCAGCCAUGCCGCGUGUAUGAAGAAGGCCUUCGGGUUGUAAAGUACUUUCAGCGGGGAGGCGUUACCCGCAGAAGAAGCACCGGCUAACUCCGUGCCAGCAGCCGCGGUAAUUC
rnacentral:rRNA from 1 species